rnacentral:rRNA from 1 species
GUCUAUGGCCGCACCAUCCUGAACGCGCAUGAUCUCCUCUGAUCUCGGAAGCUAAGCAGGGUGGGGCCUGGUUAGGACUUGGGUGGGAGUAGUUA